GCGUGAGUGAUGAAGGCCCUAGGGUUGUAAAGCUCUUUCGCCGGUGAAGAUAAUGACGGUAACCGGAGAAGAAGCCCCGGCUAACUUCGUGCCAGCAGCCGCGGUAAUACGAAGGGGGCUAGCGUUGUUCGGAAUUACUGGGCGUAAAGCGCACGUAGGCGGACUACUAAGUCAGGGGUGAAAUCCCGGGGCUCAACCCCGGAACUGCCUUUGAUACUGAUAGUCUCGAGUCCGGAAGAGGUGAGUGGAAUUCCGAGUGUAGAGGUGAAAUUCGU
rnacentral:rRNA from 1 species